CUGAUAAAAGUUGGAGAGCUGCUCCCCACUGUGAAGAAAUAGAGCCAGAAGACUGCCACUGCUGGAACUCACAGAAAGACACAAGAAUAAAGCUCGUUUGAUGGAACAGUCAGACAGGCUAUCAUUGGACAGGGCCACAUCUGGUGUUGGUGUUUGGUUGUGACUUUCACACUAUGAAAGAACAAAGAACUUGACGAUAAUCUGGAACAAACACACUAGCUGACUCAACGUACUC